CUGGUCUUGACAUGUGCGGAACCCUCCAGAGACGGAGGGGUGCCUUCGGGAGCCGUAACACAGGUGCUGCAUGGCUGUCGUCAGCUCGUGUCGUGAGAUGUUGGGUUAAGUCCCGCAACGAGCGCAACCCUUGUCAUUAGUUGCCAUCAUUAAGUUGGGCACUCUAAUGAGACUGCCGGUGACAAGCCGGAGGAAGGUGGGGAUGACGUCAAGUCCUCAUGGCCCUUAUGACCAGGGCUUCACACGUCAUACAAUGGUCGGUACAGAGGGUAGCCAAGCCGCGAGGUGGAGCCAAUCUCACAAAACCGAUCGUAGUCCGGAUUGCGCUCUGCAACUCGAGUGCAUGAAGUCGGAAUCGCUAGUAAUCGCAGGUCAGCAUACUGCGGUGAAUA
rnacentral:rRNA from 1 species